rnacentral:rRNA from 1 species
CACGUAGGCACCAAGCGUUGUCCGGAUUUAUUGGGCGUAAAGAGCUCGUAGGUGGUUCGGUAAGUCAGGUGUGAAACCUCCAGGCUCAACCUGGAGACGCCACUUGAUACUGCUGUGACUGGAGUCCGGUAGGGGAGCGUGGAAUUCCUGGUGUAGCGGUGAAAUGCGUAGAGAUCCGGAGGAACCCCAGAGGCGAAGGCGGCCCCCUGGCUCGUACCUGACGCUCAGCCACGAAAGCAUGGGGAGCGAACGGG